GUCUACAGGCAUACCACCCUGAAUGUGCCAGGCCUUAGAAGAUCUUGGAACCUAAGCAAGGUCAGGUUUGGUUAGUACUUGGAUGGGAGAACUCAGGGCUUACCUGGGCUGUGUAAAAA
rnacentral:rRNA from 1 species